rnacentral:rRNA from 1 species
AGCAGCCGCGGUAAUUCCAGCUCCAAUAGCGUAUAUUAAAGUUGUUGCAGUUAAAAAGCUCGUAGUUGAAUUUCGGGAUCAGUGCGCUGGUCGUGCCUUCGGUAUGUACUGGUGUUACUGGUUCCUACCUUCUGACGAACCGUCAUGUCAUUAAUUUGGUGUGGCGGGGAAUCAGGACUGUUACUUUGAAAAAAUUAGAGUGUUUAAAGCAGGCUCGCGCUUGAAUACAUUAGCAUGGAAUAAUGAAAUAGGACGUUCGAUCCUAUUUUGUUGGUUUCUAGGAUUGACGUAAUGAUUAAUAGGGAUAGUUGGGGGCAUUAGUAUUCAAUUGUCAGAGGUGAAAUUCUUGGAUUUAG